rnacentral:rRNA from 1 species
CUGAUGGAGCACACCGCGUGAGUGAAGAAGGGUUUCGGCUCGUAAAGCUCUGUUGUUGGAGAAGAACGUGCGUGAGAGUAACUGUUCACGCAGUGACGGUAUCCAACCAGAAAGUCACGGCUAACUACGUGCCAGCAGCCGCGGUAAUACGUAGGUGGCAAGCGUUAUCCGGAUUUAUUGGGCGUAAAGCGAGCGCAGGCGGUUGCUUAGGUCUGAUGUGAAAGCCUUCGGCUUAACCGAAGAAGUGCAUCGGAAACCGGGCGACUUGAGUGCAGAAGAGGACAGUGGAACUCCAUGUGUAGCGGUGGAAUGCGUAGAUAUAUGGAAGAACACCAGUGGCGAAGGCGGCUGUCUGGUCUGCAACUGACGCUGAGGCUCGAAAGCAUGGGUAGCGAACAGGAUUAGAUACCCUGGUAGUCCAUGCCGUAAACGAUGAGUGCUAGGUGUUGGAGGGUUUCCGCCCUUCAGUGCCGGAGCUAACGCAUUAAGCACUCCGCCUGGGGAGUACGACCGCAAGGUUGAAACUC